GAUGAAGAACGUAGCGAAGUGCGAUAAGUAAUGUGAAUUGCAGAAUUCCGUGAAUCAUCGAAUCUUUGAACGCAUAUUGCACCUUCUGGUAUUCCGGAAGGUAUGCCUGUUUGAGGGUCAGUUAAAUAAAAAUCGGUGUUGUUGCUGCCUUUCGUGGUGACGCGUCGGAGUUGGGUCGUCUUAACCUUCGGCUAAGUGACUUAAAAUUUUGCAUGAUUUUUCGAACGUAUUUAAAUUGUUUUACGUACGUUUGGGAUAUCUGAAUGUUUUUAUUAGGUUCGGUCAUCCUCAUGAUUUCGCGCCUAUAAAUCUUUUCAUUAAAUGACCUCAAAUCAGGUAAGAAUACCCGCUGAACUUAAGCAUAUCAAUAAGCGGAGGA
rnacentral:misc_RNA from 1 species